GCCGCCGUAGCUCAAUUGGUGGAGCUCCGAGAGUAAUGACCUCGAAGGUUGCGGGUUCGAGUCCCGCCGGCGGCG
rnacentral:tRNA from 1 species